rnacentral:rRNA from 1 species
AGUGAACGCUGGCGGUAGGCCUAACACAUGCAAGUCGAACGGCAGCACAGUAAGAGCUUGCUCUUACGGGUGGCGAGUGGCGGACAGGUGAGGAAUACAUCGGAAUCUACUUUUUCGUGGGGGAUAACGUAGGGAAACUUACGCUAAUACCGCAUACGACCUACGGGUGAAAGCAGGGGAUCUUCGGACCUUGCGCGAUUGAAUGAGCCGAUGUCGGAUUAGCUAGUUGGCGGGGUAAAGGCCCACCAAGGCGACGAUCCGUAGCUGGUCUGAGAGGAUGAUCAGCCACACUGGAACUGAGACACGGUCCAGACUCCUACGGGAGGCAGCAGUGGGGAAUAUUGGACAAUGGGCGCAAGCCUGAUCCAGCCAUACCGCGUGGGUGAAGAAGGCCUUCGGGUUGUAAAGCCCUUUUGUUGGGAAAGAAAAGCAGCAGGUUAAUACCCCGCUGUUCUGACGGUACCCAAAGAAUAAGCACCGGCGAACUUCGU